rnacentral:lncRNA from 10 species
AUGUGCUCAAAGGGCAGAAGAGAAGUGGACACAGCUUUGUGCUUCUGAAACUCCUGACUUCUAAGUGCAUAUUUCUGGGCUGUUAUUUAUAUCCCAGAAGCAGUGACACAUGUCUGCUGCUGGAUUCUGGACAUAGCUCUCCUGACCAGACAGAGGUCACCAGACCAAAAAGAUGGGAGUUUUUCUCACUUCCAGCCAUCUAAUCUUCCAAUCUUCCACCAGUGACUACCAUUAGGAGAGAUGACUCUUCACUAGCAAGAAAGUUGGCUAGAAGACGAAAGGUCUUCCAAAGUUAGUCCUUGUAAUAUAACCUUAGAUAGAUAAGAGAAAUGUAAUAGUUUUUCUGCUGUUAUCCAACGUUUAUAGAAAACAUUGAAGAGGUAUUAACAACCUAGGUGAUAGGUUUUAUGUUAAGUGUUUCAAAUGUAUGAUACAUAAUCAUGACAAGAAUCCCAUGUCACAAAGAGAAAGUGCUAUUGUUUGUUCUCUGAUUGCUAAUUUUAUCAAUACCUUGGAAUAUAUGCCUUCUCUGACAUGUUAAAACUUGCUAUUCCACAUAUCUUUUCCCUGAAAACAGUAUGAUGAAUUAAAAAUUAUAACUUAUUAGGAUCUCAGACUUGUCGAUCUUGU